rnacentral:lncRNA from 1 species
GCCAAUAUCCCUGAUGAACAUCGAUGCAAAAAUCCUCAAUAAAAUACUGGCAAACCAAAUCCAGCAGCACAUCAAAAGCUUGUCCACCACAAUCAAGUCGGCUUCAUCCCUGGGAUACAAGGCUAGUUCAACAUACGCAAAUCAAUAAACAUAAUUCAUCAUAUAAAUAGAACCAAUGGCAAAAACCACAUGCUUCUCUCAAUAGAUGCAGAAAAGGCCUUCGACAAAAUUCAGCAGCCCUUCAUGCUAAAAACCCUCAAUUGACUUCGAACUAUACUACAAGCCUUCAGUAACCAAAACAGCAUGGUACUGGUACCAAAACAGAUAUGUAGACCAAUGGAACAGAACAGAGGCCUCAGAAAUAACACCACACAUCUACAACUAUCUGAUCUUUGACAAACCUGACAAAAACAAGCAAUGGGGAAACGAUUCCCUUUUUAAUAAAUGGUGUUGGGAAAACUGGCUAGCCAUAUGCAGAAAACUGAAACUGGAUCCCUUCCUUACACCUUACACAAAAAUUAGCUCACGAUGUAUUAAAGACUUAAACAUAAGAUCUAAAACCAUAAAAAACCCUAGAAGAAAACCUAGGCAAUACCAUUCAGUACAUAGGCAUGGACAAAAACUUCAUGACUAAAACACCAAAAGCAAUUGCAACAAACUAAAGAGCUCCUGCACAGCAAAAGAAACUAUCAUCAGAGUGAACAGGCAACCUACAGAAUGGGUGAAAAUUUUUGCAAUCUAUCCAUCUGAC